UUUAUUAUAUUUAGCAGUGUCACGCAUACUACGAAUUAUACCAAUCGUAUGACAAUUAUUGGAUAAGCUUUUUAGCAGUAGUAUCUUCAUGAUUUGACAACAAUUUUAUCAUUUAUCAACAACGAGUAAAACGUGUCAAACGAGUCAUUUAAAGUUGCUCAUUAAGCAGGCAUUUGUCGUGUAAAGUUCUUUUCAAUAAACAGAACUCUUUUAAUGGCGGGUUUAUUUAUAACAGCCUGAAGUUGUAAUGCAACUCAUAAUUACAAAGAGGUUAUCGCUGUCAUGUAGGACAUACGCCAUUAAAACGCAGAACUCUGUUAGAAUUAGUCAUCGCACUGCUUUCCAGUCUAUUUCUAUGUUUAAUCUCCAAGACUCCGGUCUUUCUCUAUUUAGUUGACUAUCUGACAUUCUUCAGGGUCUUCUGAAGACUGACGUUGAAGAGGACUACGCAAGAGAGAACGAUAUACCGGAGAAGAGGAAAAUUCCAUGGACAUGGCCUGACAACUGAAAUUACGGUUUCCGUCGAGCCACCGAACGGCUAGACCCUUCUCUACGAUUCUCCGAACAUUGUCCCCACACCAGCCGCUUCCCUACCCUAUGUCUGUCAAUACAGAGGAUAGGACCGACGUGUAUAAAAUGGCGUCCAGAAUGGAUUUUACAACGAGAAAACCUUUAAGGUCGGUUGAGGACCCCUGCUGAAAAUCGAAGAGCUCGACGAACCAAGGGCGAACGUUCCGGAUUGCACGUACGUACGCGCGGAAAUACAGGGCGUCCUCGCGCAAAGACUUUGACAAGAAAACUGUUAUGUGACCUUAGCGGGAAUGACGUGUGGUAAGGUCACUACUUCUAUCGCUAUAUGGAAAUUUCAAUAUUAUUGACUCUGCGUUUCCUGCUUGAUACAAACAAAAAGAAUACGAUGCCAGAUUCACAUAGAGGAAAUGCAAGGUCCGUAUCUUGAUUCUGUGCAUUGCACCAGGGACGUACCCAGUGGCGCUUGGUUUCUGGUUCCCUUUAUCUACUUAACGUACGACGCAGCUUUUCUCGCCCAAUUAAAACAACAAUACCGAAGUAAUUGGAGGCAAUUGUCUGGAUCUCAAUUAAAUAUUCAGACACGUGUGACCCGAUGAGGUAAUGGGGAUAAUGAGAAUGACGCCAGGUCGUGUGUUGGCCAUGUUUACGCGUUCGUCGCUAUCGAGUAUACACAAGCGUGAAAAAUGCAUACAAAAGGGACGGCGAACAAAAAUGUAAGAUAAUAAUCAAGAAACAUUUUUUUUACAAUUUUUAAUAAGCAACGAGUUGUAUGGUUGACAUGUAUAUUUAUUUCAACAGAAGCUAAUUGGAUAUCAGGAUUGGAAUAAGGCACUAUGCUAUUUAAUAAAUCGUUGUUCAUCAAAGGACGAUGCUUUUCAAGAGGCACAACGUAGAAUCAAACACCCCUUUCCCUCUACAAUAUAUCCUGUAUCAAUGACUACCUAAGGGAUAAUCUAGGGAAUCUAAUAGCAUCUAAAUCAAUACCAGCGAGUACCAUAUUCCAGAGGCAAGAUGUGUACCAAUACGAAAAAAUUCUGUCAACCGUGCACGGUAUUCACGGGUUAAGUUUCCUAUCGUCAAACGAAAAUUCACAGGGCUGGAAUACUCCAUAGAAAAAGCAUUGUUAUACAUACAUAUACAGGAAGGGUUACCAGAGACUGCAAGGGAGAAACGUAAAAUAUUUGGACCAAAGUUACAUAGCCAAUACCAUCGACUAUCUGGUAUAUGCAUAUUAUACACACAAUAAGAUAUCCGCCUGAGGGUAUCGAGUCUGGUGUUUCUGCUACGUAUAUACAUAUAUAUAGCAGGUAGCGGUUGGCUGUUCCCUAACGGCAAGGGAAAAGUACCAGAAGCAUCAGCCUCUCAAAACUUCCAUAGAAAUUUCGUUUUCCCUCUGCAAGGGGGGUUUCGCUCUCUCUCUCUCUCUUUCUUUGUUCCUGGUAAUACCCGAGCGCGGAGCACAGAACGACAUAUGGUGACAAAUAUGGCGUCACUUUGCAUAGCAGUUGACGCAAACUAUUUCAUAGCAUACAUGCAACAUAGUUGAGCGAUAACGUCACUCUCCAUUAUUCGUAACGUUCACUAAAAAUGAGACUGGUACGAAUCCUGUCUGUCCGCGUCCCUGCGAUUCUACGCGUACAUUAUUUCGAUUAUUUCUUUCCGUAGGUAUAUCGCUCCCGACGUACGGCAAAGUAUUGUCUCUACCUGUCAAUUUGCUUCGUUGGCUGUCCGCGAAUCUCGUGACUUGCAGGAAACCUAACCAAAAGUGAAUGCUAUUUCUAUUUACGUAUACGGGAUUACUGUGGGAAAUCGAAUCUGUGAAUACACCCCGUGGCAAAUUCUCAGACCGUCCGAUUGAGCCGUAUCAAGUAAUUGAACGUGCCAGUUCGACCCGCUGGGAAUAUAUUAGUGGUACCUAUGCUAGAAGACGGGGAAUGAUCAUGGAUACGCGAAUAGAUCCGAACGAACCGGUCUCUCUGCUUAUCCCCUUUCACGCUGUCGCCUAGGCUAGAGCAAGAUCUUAACGGCGAGAAAGUUUAUUCGCGAAUGUGUCUCUCUUUCUGUAUUCCAUAAAUCUCACAGAGACGGACGGCAGUAUAGCGCUCGCACAGUUUUUCCAGCUACUCGCACUGUGUACGGCCAAAGUAUAUAAUUGGCACUGCAGCGCAGGACAGUGAAAACCCUCGUAGGCUGGAUCGCGCACGUACCCGUUUGCGGAAACGGAUAAAAGAUUCCUGAUCGCUUAUAAUUUAAUUUUACCAGGAUUAUCGGGAAGGAGUUCGACAAGUUAAUAUUGACGGAUGAUUAUUUUUAACCUGUGCAUCGACAAGGACUUAUAUCUAUGCAAUUUAAAAAAAUCUUGUAUUAGCAUCAGUCGCAAAGUGAAUGAUGAGUCAUCAUUAAACCAUAUAUUACCGUUAUAUCCAGAUUUAAAAAAAGAAGCCGCCAUUGUCAAGUCAGUGUGUGAUGGUUAUUUUAACGUGUAAUUCUACGAUACUAAUACUUCAUAGAGGUACAUUGACGGGGACUUCGUUACCAUUAAAAAGCUACAUAUAGUAUGUUUAACGAGGUGAUAUAUAUGCUAGCCAGUAUGGUUAAAGCCGUCGCUCUUGGAAUCGCGAGUGGGCGACAAGCGACUCUGCCUUUGGCCUAGCGUGGGUUAAAGAGAAAUCAGCCGAAACGAGAACGACGAGUUGACAAGCGUAUGUAUGACUAUAUUAUAUAUGAGCCUCUACUUCUACGAUUGUCUUUCACGUAUCGCUUAUGAGUAGGGAUCGACGUUAGAAAACCUAUUGUGUACCUACGGGUAGAGGAACGACAAGGAAGCGUUGAUAGUUUUAGAGGACACAAAAAAUAUCUACGUCAUACUCCUAACAGGAAGUAAAUGUCACUUCCGUGAAUGAAAAGACGGAAGUCCGGAGUAUUUACUCCGUGGCUAAAUUUUCAGAAAAUUAUGCAUGGUUUCGCAUCGACCGAACCGACCACCUGUCCAUGGCGAUGGUUAGUACGGGGAUGCGCGCGCACGUGAAAUUAACAAAGCCCAGAAAGGGAAGAGUCGCCAUUGAGUAAUAGCGGGGACAACGGUACUGGUAUAAGGGAUAAAUAGUUUACGCAUGAGUGACGCAGUGGGGUACACAUGGAUUACAAUUGGUGGCUGUGGAUUUCUGGAGAUGCAUGGUCAGAGAAAUUAAGGGAAACCAAGAUGGGAAGAGUCGAUGGGUCGAUUCGAACCGUUGGUUCUGGCGAGUCUCUUUGAUGGCAGAGCGAUAAUUUUGUUUGAGGCGAAUGUAUUUUCGUGCGUCUGUUGCCGGCACCAACGGACACUCAGCAGAGUUCAAUGACUGGCACAGAAAAGGAACGCCGCCAUCUUACCGGGAGAUAUGCACGCGCGAUAAUAUUUCAUUUAAAAAAGAAAAGGACCGAAUGCUGUGUCUCAAAAUAUGAUUACGACGUUUUUACUCGUCCGUCUUAGCCACUGUUGUCACUUUUUAUAUUUUAUCCACACGUAUCCGAACUAUUAAUUCGGUAUCUGACUCACUAUAGUUUCUUCUAAUCAAUGUGGAAACUUUCUAGAUUCUCUACAAGCAUAUUUCGAUCUCUAUACUGCAGGAGGGAAUCUGGAAACCGUAAGGGACUUCUUCCUAGUUACCUUUAAUGUUCUUCAAAUAGAGGACCCAUUAACUUUACUUUUUAUACACAAUUUCGCAAGCCCAUAAACGUUAAACGUGAUCCAGGGUUCAUUUAUAUACACCUGAUACUGUACAAUAUCAUUUUGGAGGUUAUGUACGUUACGCUCAGUACGUAUAAACAUUAAUAACGUUUUAUAUAGCUCUCUCAAGUAUCGUGGAACGAACAUAGGCCUGGUUGACCUUCGGGAGCCGUUGAGAGAGCAGAAGGCGAAAACGAAAUUGUUUGCAGCUGACCAACGAGAAAUCGUCAUCACUCACUCAUACUUUUCCUAAUGAUAUUAUCAUUAACUAUUUAAGAAAUUUGCACAAAAAAGGAGUUAAUAUCAGCAAUUUCAUUAAUUAUUGAUAGUAACGGAAUAAGACUUCGUAUGAAACUAGCGGACGUGUCCCUUUAAGACUGCGGAGCGACAUGCGCAAGAGGAGCCCUUUGCCUUUGUUCUUUAGUUUGGGCUGCCCUAAGAGAGGCCGGACUCGCAUCACCAAGUCGAACCGACUAACCCACUUCCCCUUUCGAAAAUAAUCAGGCGUUCGUUCUUCUCGCUGCCAAGAAGAACAUUGCAAAAUUUUGUUCGUGACAUCGCUCGCCUACGUCUGUGACCGUCUAAAUGUCUAUGAUAAUGAGAAGCAGCUUCGAUACUACUAAAGGACACAAAGGAAUUGAUUGACUUUACGAAUCAGUACUUUUCUUGGACGAUCUCUUUUCUUGUACACUAAUAAAUUGAUGUUUUAGAAUUUUUUCAUUACACUAUUUAAAUUAUGUGGCUGUUUUGCUAAAACAUUCUAUACCCAUGAUUUUUACCAGAAUGUCUUUCACACUACCGUGCCAACUUUUAAAUUUAUGAAAUUAUUUCGCUUUUUGUUUAAAUCGUAAAACUGUGUAAGCCUGUGGGAUAUAUAUGUAUAAUUUAUGAGCGGUGAGAAUGACGCUUGAAUUAUCGAAGAUAUUUUUAAAGAGAAAAUUAGAUUUCAUACAUUUAAUUAAAAAAAAAUACACGUAAAAUGUUAACGGAUUUUUAUGAAGACAUUAAGUUCCUUUGUUAAUUUUCGGGACUCCUUGUUGUUUGACAACAAGAAUCGGCCACCGGUAAAAUGGCGGUGAGUGCUAUUCGCUGUGUAUGUAUAAUAUACCAAGGGUAUAAACUAACAAAUGUGUAAAAAGAUAAAAUACACAAAAAUAAGCUAAAAUCAAGGACCUAAAACAAUAAUUGU